rnacentral:tRNA from 1 species
UGCCCAGGUGGUGAAAUUGGUAGACACGCUGGAUUUAGGAUCCAGUGCUUUCGGGCAUGUAGGUUCAAGUCCUAUCCUGGGCAUC